CAAUAUACCCCUUGCCCUAACGUUAAAUAUCGCCUCCAUCUACACACAACGCCUCAGUUCAGUUGCUUGCGUUCUCUUCCAUCGCUGCUGCUUCUGUUGUCUCGCCAUCCCUUCCCUGCUCGCCGCGGGUAUCCCUCUCGUCUCCAUAUGUGUGUGUUAAUGUUGCUUGCAGGCUGCAUGUAAAACCGCAGCAGAAAGAAGUGACUGAGGCGAAGAAGGUUGUGGAAUUAUUAUAUGAAACAGGUUUUAGAUGUUUGUGGGAUUGGAAUUAGCAUCGAUGAUGAUAAUCAGACUGUCAUCUUUGCAAUUUGAUUCAUAGUGAAGAAAACAAUGGGGAAAGUAUUUCUUAGAUGCGUUUUCUUCUACAUUUACGUUGCCAAAUAUUUUGGUAACCUAAAUUUUUGCAUUUGAAUAUUUAUUGGCUUUUGAUUUUCAUUGCAUCCACAUUGCUCGAUUUUGUUAUCCACUUUAUCAUUCAUUGAAACCAGAAGCUCUAUCCUUGUAUUCUAUAAGGCUGGAGGCAUCUCACAAUAUCAACCAAUUUAGAGAUGCACAAAACCCGAAUCCGAAUCCGAUCCGGUUUCGUUUACGUCACCAAGAAUCCGUUCCGGUCAAAAUCUGAUCCGAAUCCGGUCAAAAUCCGAUCCGGAUCCGGUCAAAAUUUGAAUCCGAUUCUAAUCCGGUUUAAACCAAUUUUAGUGGGUUUUAAGCGGAUUUUGGGCAGAUUUGGAUCCGGUUUGUGAUCCGGUAUCAAAUCCGAUUUGAAAUGUAGGAUUAGGAUCCGAUUGAAAAUCCGGUUUUGAAUCCGAUCCGGUUUGAUCAAAACUGGUUUUGACCCAAUCUGGUUUUGAAUAGUGAAACCGGUUUCGGAUUGGAUCGGUUUUGAAUUGUGUAACCGGUUUUGAAUCUGAUUUGAUCCGGUUAGGUCAAAAUACACAUACUAAAUUCGAUAUUUCACCAAACAAUUUUAUUUUUUCAUUUAAAACAUCUUUUAAUCUUUCAAACACAACAUGUUUUUAGCUAACCAAAUAAAAACCUCGAUUUGAAACAAGAAAAAAUCUUCAAACACCAAUAAUGUGAUUUCAUUAAAUCAUCCUACAAAAUCACCCGCAAGUUACCAUUUUUUGGCUAUGAUUUCAUAUUUAAGUCAAUUUCCAAAUCAAUACCCUUCUGAAUCAUUAUUUGUGCAAAUACCCCGAAGUAAAUUUCUAAUCCCUAUCCUAUUUCCAAUUCUAACCCAAAACGAAUUUCCAUCCCUAACUUGAACUUAUCAUAGAUUUAAACCUUUUGAGUUGGUUUUUGAACCUUGAUUCUAUUUUUUUUAAUAAUUUUCUGUUUGUAAAAAAAGCAAAACUUUCUAGGGAAGUCAUAGUCAAAUCUUUUGAUAUCCAUAUCGGGCUAGAUGUUAUUAUCCAUAUGAAUUGUCUGAUUUGUGGCAUGAAAUUUCCUAAGAGUUAACUAGAAAGUUUUGCUUGCUUUUGACAUAACUCCAAAAUCCUUGAACAGUUUUCGAGUUGGAUUUUGUGAACCGACUCAAAAGACUUUAACUUGAGAACAGGUUGGGAUUGUAAUUGGAAGUAGGUUUGGGAUUGCAAACUGGAUUGGGGUAUCACAUGAAUUGCGAUUGAGAAGAGUAUCGAUGAGGAAAAAUUGAUACAAAUGUAGAGCAAUGGACAAAAAUAUGGUAAUUUGCAGGUGAAUAAAUAAGAUUGAUUGAGUGAUAGUUGAUAUCCGGGAACAAGGUUUUGAUGUUAUUGGGGUUUUAGCUAGGCGAAAACAUAAUGUUUUGUUUGAAAGAUUGAGAUGUUUUGAUUAAAUGAAUCUGAUUGUGCUUGUUGAAAUGUGGAGUUUUAUAUAUGUAGUUAUAGCA